rnacentral:tRNA from 1 species
GGUGGCUCAGUGGUAGAGCACUUGCCUUGCAAGCAUGAAGCCCUGGGUUCAAGUCCUCUGCACCA